rnacentral:rRNA from 1 species
GGGAAUAUUGCACAAUGGGCGCAAGCCUGAUGCAGCCAUGCCGCGUGUGUGAAGAAGGCCUUCGGGUUGUAAAGCACUUUCAGCGAGGAGGAAGGGUUCAGUGUUAAUAGCACUGUUCAUUGACGUUACUCGCAGAAGAAGCACCGGCUAACUCCGUGCCAGCAGCCGCGGUAAUACGGAGGGUGCAAGCGUUAAUCGGAAUUACUGGGCGUAAAGCGCACGCAGGCGGUUUGUUAAGUCAGAUGUGAAAUCCCCGCGCUUAACGUGGGAACUGCAUUUGAAACUGGCAAGCUAGAGUCUUGUAGAGGGGGGUAGAAUUCCAGGUGUAGCGGUGAAAUGCGUAGAGAUCUGGAGGAAUACCGGUGGCGAAGGCGGCCCCCUGGACAAAGACUGACGCUCAGGUGCGAAAGCGUGGGG